GUGCACCAGGCGCGAAUACUUUACAAUGUGCGAAAGCACGAUAAGGGAACUCUGAGUGCCUCCUAAGGAGGCUGUUCUGAUGUCUAAAAGCAACAGAAGUAAGGGCUGGGUAAGACCGGUGCCAGCCGCCGCGGUAACACCGGCAGCCCAAGUGGUAGCCACGUUUAUUGGGUCUAAAGCGUUCGUAGCCGGCCAGGUAAGUUCCUUGGUAAAUUUAGCCGCUUAACGGUUAAGCUUUCGGGGAAUACUGCUUGGCUUGGGACUGGGAGAGGUCAGAGGUACUCCGGGGGUAGGGGUGAAAUCUAUUAAUCCCUGGGGGACCACCGGUAGCGAAGGCGUCUGACCAGACCAGGUCCGACGGUGAGGGACGAAGGCUAGGGGCGCGAACCGGAUUAGAUACCCGUGUAGU
rnacentral:rRNA from 1 species